rnacentral:lncRNA from 1 species
CACGAACAGGACCCCACAGCCACGUGAGCUGUCAAAGUUAGUCCGUUAGACACGCGGAAGGGACGGGAGACGUCACCACGGUGCGAAUGCAGCCCACUCCCUCUGCAGCGCUGUCAGACGUCUGUGUACCAUGGCCCUCGUAAAAUCGAGCACUGGGUCUUUUGCUAACGUUGUGCGUGUGCCACGGCGCAGCCGAGACAUGUGAGCUGCAGAGUGGAUGUCACCCGCAGAAGCGGACGGACCCUUCAUUCUUACACCUCCGUCACAAGUAGAGCUGCCAUGGAAGUUCUGAUCCCCAGUUGCAGCACAUUUUCAGAAAUUUGCCUUGAACACUUUCUUGCUGACAGAUCUUCAGUGACAUCCAGGAGGACAGGGAGGGCAGGUCUUGCUAGCUGUCAGGAUUCUUCUAGGCUGAGAGCUGCCCCUAAAAGGAAACAACCGGGCUGUGCGCUGCUGCAGGAUCUCGACGUUGACUCAUCGGAUGCAUUUCCAACUCCAGCGGCUCAAGACAGGUCCCUGCCACACCAGAGGCUCAGCAGAGCCUGCAUUCUGCAGAUGGGUGAAUCUGCUGCCUUCCGGCCGUUCCUGUGCCCUGGCUCAGAUGCAGCUCUGGCCUUUGCCACUCUUCCUGGACACAUGACUUCUGUGCCUCAGUUUCCUGGCCUGUGCUGGUGAUGACACUCUAACCAUAUGGCCACGUAGGGUAGGGCAGCUGGAGUUGGGGACUUGCUGUGUGUUGUGGGUGGUUGCCUCAGCUGUGUGUGACAUGGCAAGAAAGAACAGCCGCUCAAGUGAGGUGGACAUGAGUUUCUCGCUCAGAUCUGAGAAGCUCAGCAGGCAGCAGCCUGUGGCCUGGUGUGUGGGCUCUGCUUCCCACUGCCCAGGGCUUCUGUCCCUUGCCUCCAUCAUCCCUGCCCACGUGGCCACCCCAUGUCCUCAGCGGGCCUGCUUCCCCAGGGGAUUCUGCCUGCUGUCAACCUGGUCAUCACUCGGAGAGGGAGAGAUGCUUGAUGGGUGUUUUGAUGGGGCCUGAGGACUCAGGGAGGACCGAGGGGCUCACCGUCCCUCCCUGCCAGGACACGGAGGCUGCCUUCGAGGACAGUAAGUGGCCUCGUCCUGUUUGCUGCACAUGUGUAAAGGACAUCUCUCCUGGAGACAUUAGCAGCAAAUAUUCAGAGAAAUAAGUUAAAACGAGGGGCAAAAGAAUGCAACUCAGGCG